GUGAGGAAUAUUGGGCAAUGGGCGAAAGCCUGACCCAGCCACGCCGCGUGAGUGAUGAAGGCCUUCGGGUUGUAAAGCUCUGUGGGGAGGGAAGAAAAAGCGGGAGAGUAACUGCUCUCGUGUUGACGGUACCUCCUUAGCAAGCACCGGCUAACUCUGUGCCAGCAGCCGCGGUAAUACAGAGGGUGCAAACGUUGCUCGGAAUUACUGGGCGUAAAGCGCGUGUAGGCUGACAUGCAAGUCGGGUGUGAAAUCCCAGGGCUCAACCUUGGAACUGCACUCGAAACGGCACGUCUUGAGUACUGGAGAGGGAAGCGGAAUGCCGGGUGUAGAGGUGAAAUUCGUAGAUAUCCGGAGGAACACCAGUGGCGAAGGCGGCUUCCUGGACAGUAACUGACGCUGAGACGCGAAAGCGUGGGGAGCAAACAGGAUUAGAUACCCCUGUAGUCC
rnacentral:rRNA from 1 species